UACAGAGGAGCCAAGCGUUGUCCGGAUUGACUGGGCGUAAAGCGCACGUAGGCGGCUCAGCAAGUCAGGGGUGAAAUCCCGGGGCUCAACCCCGGAACUGCCCUUGAAACUGCUAAGCUAGAAUCUUGGAGAGGCGAGUGGAAUUCCGAGUGUAGAGGUGAAAUUCGUAGAUAUUCGGAAGAACACCAGUGGCGAAGGCGACUUCCUGGCCUGUUCUUGACGCUGAGGCGCGAAAGCUAGGGGAGCAAACGGG
rnacentral:rRNA from 1 species